rnacentral:rRNA from 1 species
GUGCACGCUGGCGGUAGGCCUCACUCCUGCUAGUCGAACGGCAGCACAGUAAGAGCUUGCUCUUCCGGGUGGCGAGUGGCGGACGGGUGAGGAAUACAUCGGAAUCUACUUUUUCGUGGGGGAUAACGUAGGGAAACUUACGCUAAUACCGCAUACGACCUACGGGUGAAAGCAGGGGAUCUUCGGACCUUGCGCGAUUGAAUGAGCCGAUGUCGGAUUAGCUAGUUGGCGGGGUAAAGGCCCACCAAGGCGACGAUCCGUAGCUGGUCUGAGAGGAUGAUCAGCCACACUAGAACUGAGACACGGUCCAGACUCCUACGGGAGGCAGCAGUGGGGAAUAUUGGACAAUGGGCGCAAGCCUGAUCCAGCCAUACCGCGUGGGUGAAGAAGGCCUUCGGGUUGUAAAGCCCUUUUGUUGGGAAAGAAAAGCGGCAGGUUAAUACCCCGCUGUUCUGACGGUACCCGAAGAAUAAGCACCGGCUAACUUCGUG